rnacentral:tRNA from 1 species
GCCCCCAUAGUUCAACGGACAGAAUGCGAGCUUGCGGAGCUCGUGAUGCGGGUUCGAUUCCUGCUGGGGGUA